GAGUUUGAAGACAGGAGAAAAGCAGAAGAGGCUUGUGACGAUUUAAAUAGCAGGGACUUUUUAGGAAAUAGAUGUGUUGUUCAAUUAGCAAAGGGAUCUAAUAGAACUAAAAAUAGAUCGCCACCCCGUUCAGAUUACUUUCCAUCUACUGCAAGUCACACGAGGAUUCGUCCCUAUAAUACGGAAAACAGAGUUGUGGUGGACAAUCUCAGUACGAGGACUACAUGGAGAGUGGGUUAAUUAAUUAAUUAUUUAAUCUAAUUAUCAUUUA